CACGUAGGCGGUGACAUAAGUCGGUUGUGAAAUCCCUCGGCCUAACCGAGGAACUGCGGCCGAUACUGUGUUGCUUGAGGAUCAGAGGGGUGCAUGGAAUUUCCGGUGGAGCGGUGAAAUGCGUUGAUAUCGGAAGGAACUCCGGCGGCGAAAGCGAUGCACUGGCUGAUUUCUGACGCUGAGGUGCGAAAGCCAGGGGAGCAAACGGGAUUAGAUACCCCGGUAGUCCUGGCCGUAAACGAUGGGUACUAGGUAGGGGGAUUUCAAACGUCUCUCUGCUGGAGUGAAUAUAUUAAGUACCCCGCCUGGGAAGUACAGUCGCAAGGCUGAA
rnacentral:rRNA from 1 species